GAAGAACUUGAGCUGCGUGGGCUUUGUCAGCAUUGGUAAAGAUCUGCAAUGGCCAAUUCAGACAAAGUUAUGUGAAUAUACGAAUGAGGAUUGUAGGUUUGAAUUUCAACUUUUCAUAUCGCCUCACCUUUAACCCGGCCAUCGUUGUCCCAUAUUCCAUGUGCAUGUCCAAGCACAUUUGAGGCACUUCACUUUCCUCUAUUUGCAAAUGCUUCAACAUGAAUUCUACGUUCAUCAUCAACAAGAACAAUAUCAACAUUAUUGGUAAUUUGCUACGACUUAUGUUCUUUCCCAUUUCAAAUUAUCUACGUGUUGUAUCGUACCUUCAAUUUUCUUACGACAUGCUAGGUUAAGACCACAACUUCUUGGGUACAAAGUAUCGUCCAUAUCUGCACACACAUUUAUCAACUUCUUAAAAGAAGUUUCAAACGUUAAAA